rnacentral:rRNA from 1 species
UUGCGGUUAAAAAGCUCGUAGUUGGAUUCCUGUAGAGAAGUGGUUCCCUCACCCUUUGGAUGGGGGUUACUACAUUCUUUACAUCUUCCAUAGUAGGUGUUCUUCACUUAAGUGUGCGGACAUCAUACUCUGGGCAUUUACUUUGAGGAAAUGAGAGUGCUUCAAGCAGGCAAACGCCUGAAUACAUUAGCAUGGAAUAAUAGCAUCGGAUCAUCGUGCAGCUUCUGGUGUCUGAACGAAGAUAAAGGUGAACAGGGGUUGUUGGGGGCAUUCGUAUUUAACUGUCAGAGGUGAAAUUCUUGGAUUUGUUGAAGACGAGCUACUGCGAAAGCAUUUGCCAAAGAUGUUCUCAUUGAU